AUUUUAGUUGCCAGCACUUCGGGUGGGCACUCUAGAAUGACUGCCGGUGACAAACCGGAGGAAGGCGGGGAUGACGUCAAAUCAUCAUGCCCCUUAUGACUUGGGCUACACACGUACUACAAUGGCUGGUACAACGGGAAGCGAAGCCGCGAGGUGGAGCCAAUCCUAUAAAAGCCAGUCUCAGUUCGGAUUGCAGGCUGCAACUCGCCUGCAUGAAGUCGGAAUUGCUAGUAAUCGCGGAUCAGCAUGCCGCGGUGAAUACGUUCCCGGGUCUUGUACACACCGCCCGUCACACCACGAGAGUUUACAACACCCGAAGUCGGUGGGGUAACCCUUACGGGAGCCAGCCGCCGAAGGUGGGGUAGAUGAUUGGG
rnacentral:rRNA from 1 species